GAGAUAUAUAUAGAAGAUAUUGCCUAUCUUGGAAAUCGCCUGUGCCUGUGCCUGUGCCUGUGCCUGUGCAUGGUUCUAUUGAUAUUCUUUAUACAGUUCUUUAUACAUUUUAUUAUUUCAACAAAAUUCAUUUUACAUGUUAAACUAUCUUUGCAAACAAUUUUAUUUUUAACGAUAACAGCGCUUAUAUGGGUCACCGGCCUAUUUGAUUUUUAGUCGACUCGACCACAGACACAAGAACUGGAGUGUUAUGUGUUUAUUAUUGGCAUGCAUACUUUAAGCAUCAUUUCUCAGUCUUGCCGUUGUUACUAAGACUUGUAGACAAAAAAAAAAUAGAAAGUAGCUUUUUAAAACACUAUUUUUAACUUGAAGAUAAGUUGUUAGCUAGGAUAAAUAUGUAAACAAAGGAAAAACGUAUUGUCCACAGACUAACAGACUAGUUACAGACUGUCUGGAGCUCCCGGAUGAUACGUUAUGUCACUUUAUGAAUUAUUUAAUACUUUCUUAUGAAUACAGUCCUAGAGUUAAGACAACAUCCGCGGAGUCUGAACAUUGCUGACUAUGGAGAAGAAAUAUUUCCGAGAACAACUUAUCCUCGUUUUACAAAUAUGGCCCCUGAGGAGUGUGAUGGUUUUCAUUGCUGACGACCUCCACUGGAAUUCCUGACUGUACCAAGGUCCUGACUAGAGGAGUGGACUCCGUGACUUCAUCUUCAAACAACACUAACAGUUCAAGAUGAUCACCUUAUUCUCAGAUGAACUGGCUGACCCUUGGGCUGCGGUUUUUUCCUGCAGCAGUCUUUUCAAGUGAACACUAGCAGCAGACUGUUCAGUUGAUGUGUUAAUAAUGUGUACAACGUGGCCC